rnacentral:ncRNA from 2 species
UUGACCUCGGAUCAGGUAGGAAUACGCGCUGAACUUAAGCAUAUCAAUAAGCGGAG